AAUGGCUAAUUGUCUUCUCUCGAAUAGCAUUAUGGCUGAUGACAAUUCUGGAAUAACAUCAGUUGAAAUGCCAUUCGGGUUAAGGCACUUGAGAAA
rnacentral:pre_miRNA from 1 species